UAGCAAACAUAAAAAGCGCUUACAAAACAUGAGGUUUGCUAUGUGUACAGAAAAUCCAUACAUGCACUUUGACAGAAUAUUAUAUGACAUUUUGCCAUUGGUUUCUGUCCCAAAAAAAUAGUUUUGGCAGCUAAUCACAAUCUGUCAACAAAAUGGAGCAACAAUUCUGUGCAAGUAGAUAAUUCCACAAAACAUAUAUGGAUAGGAAAAUUCCAUGUUUCCCUCAAAAUUUUGUGACAUGUCCUCCACUUGCUUUAUGUUUCCUUUAAUCUUGUGUGCUGUAUGGAGCAGAAAGUAUAAAAAGUUAACACCAAAAGCGACAAGUCAGAAGGAAUAAGAAUUAUUAAAAGUAAGAGAAAGGAAUAUGAUAAAUGUACAUACCCAUAUUGAUUGAGUGCACCACCAAACAGAUUUGGAUGUACAGAAUAAAUCAAUUACAAUUCCCUUGUAAAGCAAAAAAGAUAUAGUUUUUCAUUCAAUUCAAUUAAUUAUUACUUAGCACAUGUUUAAGAUUGAUUUUUCUCUCCAAAAAAUUAAUUUUUUGACCGUUAUUUCACUAUUCCAGCUAUCAUUUUUUACUUCUUUCACAAAUAGGAUCUAUUUUUCUCUCUAA
rnacentral:lncRNA from 1 species